rnacentral:rRNA from 1 species
AUCCGCCUGAGAAUCACAAGCACGCAGCUUAAAACUCAAAAGACUUGGCGGUGCUCUACAUCCACCUAGAGGAGCCUGUCCUAUAAUCGAUAAUCCACGAUUCACCUCACCACUUCUCGCCUAUUCAGUCUAUAUACCGCCGUCGUAAACUCACCCCCUGAGGGACUAGCAGUGAGUCUAAUGACACUAUCGCCAACACGUCAGGUCAAGGUGUAACUAAUGAAUUGGGAAGAGAUGGGCUACAUUUUCUAAAAUAGAACACACGGAAAAUCACUAAUGAAAUGUGACCAGAAGGAGGAUUUAGCAGUAAAAAGAAAACAGCAUGUUCUUUUUAACAAGGUCAUAGAGCACGUACACACCGCCCGUCAC